UCCGGUGUGGCGCAAUGGUAGCGCGGAUGCCUGUUAAGCAUUAGGUUGUAGGUUCGAAUCCUACCACCGGAGCCA
rnacentral:tRNA from 1 species